rnacentral:rRNA from 1 species
AACGAAGGUCACAAGCGUUGUCCGGAAUUACUGGGUGUAAAGGGAGCGCAGGCGGUAGAACAAGUUGGAAGUGAAAUCCAUGGGCUCAACCCAUGAACUGCUUUCAAAACUGUUUUUCUUGAGUAGCGCAAAGGUAGGCGGGAUUCCCGGUGUAGCGGUGGAAUGCGUAGAUAUCGGGAGGAACACCAGUGGCGAAGGCGGCCUACUGGGCACCAACUGACGCUGAGGCUCGAAAGUGUGGGUAGCAAACAGGAUUAGAUACCCUGGUAGUCCACACCGUAAACGAUGAUUACUAGGUGUUGGAGGAUUGACCCCUUCAGUGCCGCAGUUAACACAAUAAGUAAUCCACCUGGGGAGUACGACCGCAAGGUUGAAACUCAAAGGAAUUGACGGGGGCCCGCACAAGCAGUGGAGUAUGUGGUUUAAUUCGACGCAACGCGAAGAACCUUACCAAGUCUUGACAUCCCUUGACGAUGCUGGAAACAGUAUUUCUCUUCGGAGCAAGGAGACAGGUGGUGCAUGGUUGUCGUCAGCUCGUGUCGUGAGAUGUUGGGUUAAGUCCCGCAACGAGCGCAACCCUUAUGGUCAGUUACUACGCAAGAGGACUCUGGCCAGACUGCCGUUGACAAAACGGAGGAAGGUGGGGAGGACGUCAAAUCAUCAUGCCCUUUAUGACGUGGGCUACACACGUACUACAAUGGCGUUAAACAAAGAGAAGCAAGACCGCGAGGUGGAGCAAAACUCAGAAACAACGUCCCAGUUCGGACUGCAGUCUGCAACUCGCCUGCACGAAGUCGGAAUUGCUAGUAAUCGUGGAUCAGCAUGCCACGGUGAAUACGUUCCCGG